rnacentral:tRNA from 2 species
GCCCGGGUGGCGGAACUGGUAGACGCAGCCGGCUUAAACCCGGCGGUCCCGCAAGGGAUGUGGGGGUUCGAGUCCCUCCCCGGGCA